rnacentral:ncRNA from 2 species
AAUUUCUGCGGAGAUGGAGUUCUCCGUAUAACCGCCCAAAAGGCUGAUAACUCCUGCAGUAUU